UAUAGAAAGAACAAGGCCUUGCAUGUAAACGUUGAAGCCCUAACUAAUGGCGACGAAGAGAUCAAACGUUGUUGUUCUCCUACCUUUGCUUCUCCUCGUUCUAUGCCUUUCCUCUCCUCUCGGAGUUGUGGAAGCGAAACACCGCAAACUCGCAGGGAUUAUCGGGACACCAGCCUCCAAAUCAGGACACGGCGGAGGGAAAAACCCCUCAGUUGUGGCCGAGAAGAGACAAUCACCGUUCGGUCGAACCGCAGUUCCUUGAUUACUCCAUGGAAGAAUCACUCCACAAAUAAAUAAAGUGUAUCAUGUCUAAGAAUCAAUUAUGAUCAAUCCACUAGUUCUUGUUCUUGUUUUUGUUGUUUUUAGUCCUACGUGGACCGUUGUUUGUGUAUGUUCAAUCAUUUUCUCCAUUUGUGUUUAAAUGAAUAAAUAGCAUUAUCUAUCGUGUUUAUCUACA